CAAGCCUCUCCUGCCCUUCCAG
rnacentral:miRNA from 1 species